rnacentral:lncRNA from 1 species
GGUGUCCUAUGCGUGUGAGGGGCGCUAUGGGGCGCAAUGGGGCUCUAUGGGGCGGGAUGGGUGACCAAUGGGGUUCUAUGGGACUCUAUGGGGCGGAAUGGGGUCCUAUGGGGCAUAAUGGGUGUCCUAUGGGUCAUAAUGGGUGUCCUAUGGGGUUCUAUGGGGCUCUAUGGGGCGGGAUGGGUGUCCUAUGGGGUUCUAUGGGGCUCUAUGGGGCGGAAUGGGGGCCCUCUGGGUCAUAAUGGGUGUCCUAUGGGGUGGAAUGGGCUCUAUGGGGCGGAAUGGGGGCCCUGUGGGUCAUACUGGGCGUCCUAUGGGGCGGAAUGUGUGUCCUAUGGGGCAGAAUGGGUGUCCUAUGCGUGUGAGGGGCGCUAUGGGGCGCAAUGGGGCUCUAUGGGGCGGGAUGGGUGUCCUAUGGGGUUCUAUGGGGCUCUAUGGGGCGGGACGGGUGUCCUAUGGGGUGGAAUGGGGCUCUAUGGGGCGGAAUGGGGCUCCAUGGGGCAUAAUGGAUGUCCUAUGGGGUGGAAUGGGUGUCCUAUGGGGCGGAAUGGGGCUCCAUGGGGCAGAAUGGGUGUCCUAUGGGGCGGAAUGGGUGUCCUAUGGGGUUCUAUGGGGCUCUAUGGGGCGGGAUGGGUGACCUAUGGGGUUCUAUGGGGCUCUAUGGGGCGGGAUGGGUGUCCUAUGGGUCAUAAUGGGUGUCCUAUGGGGUUCUAUGGGGCUCUAUGGGGCGGGAUGGGUGUCCUAUGGGGUUCUAUGGGGCUCUAUGGGGUGCAAUGGGGUCCUAUGGGGCGGGAUGGGUGACCUAUGGGGUUCUAUGGGGCGCAAUGGGGCUCUAUGGGGCGGGAUGGGUGACCUAUGGGGCAGGAUGGGGGUUCUAUGGGGCGGAAUGGGUGACCUAUGGGGCGGGAUGUGUGUCCUAUGGGGCGGAAUGGGUGUCCUAUGCGUGUGAGGGGCGCAAUGGGGCGCAAUGGGGCUCUAUGGGGCGGGAUGGGUGACCUAUGGGGCGGGAUGGGGGUUCUAUGGGGCGGGACGGGUGUCCUAUGGGGUGGAAUGGGGCUCUAUGGGGCGGAAUGGGGCUCUAUGGGGCAUAAUGGGUGUCCUAUGGGGCGGAAUGGGUGUCCUAUGGGGUUCUAUGGGGCUCUAUGGGGCGGGAUGGGUGACCUAUGGGGUUCUAUGGGGCUCUAUGGGGCGGGAUGGGUGACCUAUGGGGUUCUAUGGGGCUCUAUGGGGCGCAAUGGGGCUCUAUGGGGCGGGAUGGGUGACCUAUGGGGCGGGAUGGGAGUUCUAUGGGGCCUAAUGGGGCAGAAGGGGGUCCUAGGGUGUUCUAUGGGGCUCUAUGGGGCGGAAUGGGGGCCCUCUGGGCCAUAAUGGGUGUCCUAUGGGGCAGAAUGGGGCUCUAUGGGGCUCUAUGGGGUGGAAUGGAUGUCCUAUGGGGCCUAAUGGGGCUCUAUGGGGCGGGAUGGGGGCCCUAUGGGUCGUACUGGGUGUCCUAUGGGGCGGAAUGGGUGUCCUAUGGGGCAGAAUGGGUGUCCUAUGCGUGUGAGGGGCGCUAUGGGGCGCAAUGGGGCUCUAUGGGGCGGGAUGGGUGACCUACGGGGUUCUAUGGGGCUCUAUGGGGCGGAAUGGGGUCCUAUGGGUCAUAAUGGGUGUCCUAUGGGGUGAAAUGCGAUCCUAUGGGGCGGAAUGGGUGUCAUAUGGGGCGGAAUGGGGCUCUAUGGGGCAGAAUGGCUGACCUAUGGGGCGGAAUGGCUGACCUAUGGGUCAUACUGGGUGUCAUAUGGGGCUCUAUGGGGCGGAAUGGGGCCCUAUGGGUCAUAAUGGGUGUCCUAUGGGGUGGAAUGGGGCUCUAUGGGGCGGAAUGGGUGUCCUAUGGGGCGGAAUGGGUGUCCUAUGGGGUGGGAUGGGUGCCCUAUGGGUUAUAUGAGAUUCCCUAUGGGUUAUGUUGGGUCUCCUAUGGGUUGCAAUGGCUGCCCUGUGGCUUAUAUAGGGUGCGCUAUGGGGUCACACUGGGUGCCCUGUGGAUUAUAUGGGGUCUCCUAUGGGUUAUAUUGGGUUCCCUGUGGGGUCACACUGGCUGCCCUAUGGGUUAUAUUGCGUCUCCUAUGGGUUAUAUUGGGUCUCCUAUGGGUUGCAAUGGGUCUCCUAUGGGUUGCAAUGGCUGCCCUGCGGCUUAUAUGGGGUGCGCUAUGGGGUCACUCGGUGUGCCCUAUGGGUUACAUGGGGUUCCCUAUGGGUUAUAUGGGGUUUCCUGUGGGUUAUACUGGGUCUCCUAUAGGUUAUAUUGGGUGCCCUAUGGGUUGUAUUGGAUUCCCUAUGGGGUCGCAAUGGGUGCCCUAUGGGUUCAAUUCGGUUCCCUAUGGGUUGCAAUGGCUGCCCUGCGGCUUAUAUGGGGUGCGCUAUGGGGUCACUCAGUGUGCCCUAUGGGUUAUAUGGGGUUUCCUAUGGGUUAUAUGGGGUUUCCUUAUGGGGUCACACUGGGUGCCCUAUGGGUUAUAUGGGAUUUCCUAUGGGUUAUAUGGGGUUCCUUAUGGGGUCACACCGGGUGCCCUAUGGGUUAUAUGGGGUUUCCUAUGGGUUAUAUUGGAUUCCCUAUGGGUUAUAUUGUGUCUCCUAUGGAUUAUAUUGGGUCUCCUAUGGGUUGCAAUGGGUCUCCUAUGGGUUGCAAUGGCUGCCCUGCGGCUUAUAUGGGGUGCGCUAUGGGGUCACUCAGUGUGCCCUAUGGGUUAUAUGGGGUUUCCUAUGGGUUAUAUUGGAUUCCCUAUGGGUUGUAAUGGUGCCCUAUGGGUUAUAUUGGGUCUCCUAUGGGUUAUAUGGGGUCUCCUAUGGGUUGCAAUGGGUCUCCUAUGGGUUGCAAUGGCUGCCCUGUGGCUUAUAUGGGGUGCGCUAUGGGGUCACACUGGGUGCCCUAUGGGUUAUAUGGGGUUUCCUAUGGGGUCACACCGGGUGCCCUAUGGGUUAUAUGGGAUUCCCUAUGGGUUAUAUUGGGUCUCCUAUGGGUUGCAAUGGGUCUCCUAUGGGUUGCAAUGGCUGCCCUGUGGCUUAUAUGGGGUGCGCUAUGGGGUCACACUGGGUGCCCUGUGGAUUAUAUGGGGUCUCCUAUGGGUUAUACUGGGUGCCCUAUGGGGUCGCACUGGGUGCCCUAUGGGUGAUAUGGGUGCCCUAUGGGUUAUAUUGGAUUCCUAUGGGUUCUAUGGGGUCUCCUAUGGGUUGCAAUGGCUGCCCUGCAGCUUAUAUGGGGUGCGCUAUGGGGUCACACUGGGUGCCCUAUGUGUUAUAUUGGGUUCCUUAUGGGGUCACACUGGCUGCCCUAUGGGUUAAAUGGGGUUUCGUAUGGGUUGUAAUGGGUGCCCUAUGGGUUAUAUGGGAUUCCCUAUGGGU